rnacentral:lncRNA from 1 species
AGCAGUUGAAACACCUUCACAGUUCCGGUUCAGCUGCGGGGACCGCAGGCACACAGACAGCAGGGGGCGCUGUAGUACAGAGAGAGCCGCCGGCUGGGGACAGAAGAGAAUGGCUGCUGUUCCAAGUCCUUCCAGCACUGGGGCCAGAGUCUGGGAAUCAAACUUCAGAACUCAUACUUGAAAAGCAGUGAACAGAUUGGACCAUUUCCUCAGCCCUUGUUACAUAAUUUGAAUCUCAUGAACAUAGCCACUCAACAGGUGAGCAGACCCCAGCCUAAUCUCCAGGCAGAGACCAGUACCUGCCUUCCAAGGCCUUAGAGAUCUCCACCAGCCCUUUCCCAACAGAGUAUUUUGGACCUUGCUUUUAUUGUUUCUUUGAGUUCUUCUGGGAUAUUAUACGAUUACGCCAAUUGGUUUUUUGCAGGGUUUCUCUGUGUGGCUUUGGAGUCUAUCCUGGCACUCGCUCUGGAGAUGAGGCUGGCCUCCAACUCAGAGAUCCACCUGCCUCUGCCUGUGCCUCCCGAGUGCUGGGAUUAAAGGCAUGCGCCACCAACGUCAGGC